GUCCUGCUGACUAAGGAUGAAAAAGCCUUGUGCAGGUAUCACCUGUUGCUGGUUAGUGUUGCGCUGAUGGUUAUCUGUGUCCUCAUGAGUCUCUGUGGAACUUUUUCUUCACAUUCGCCACGUUCUUUCCAGGGGAAUGACCUUCAAAAGGAAUCGCUGCUGAGCCAAUGAGGAAAAAUCUGCAGAACGUCCACGUUUGAGAGUGAACUGGCACCUCGUACCAUCAGAACACAUGAAGACAUCUGCUACUGAAA